rnacentral:rRNA from 1 species
UACGUGGGGGGGCGAGCGUUGUCCGGAUUUAUUGGGCCUAAAGCAUCCGUAGCCGGUUCUACAAGUCUUCCGUUAAAUCCACCUGCUUAACAGAUGGGCUGCGGAAGAUACUAUAGAGCUAGGAGGCGGGAGAGGCAAGCGGUACUCGAUGGGUAGGGGUAAAAUCCGUUGAUCCAUUGAAGACCACCAGUGGCGAAGGCGGCUUGCCAGAACGCGCUCGACGGUGAGGGAUGAAAGCUGGGGGGAGCAAACCGG